rnacentral:rRNA from 1 species
CAGUCGCCGCGGUAAUACAGAGGGUGCGAGCGUUAAUCGGAUUUACUGGGCGUAAAGUGUGCGUAGGCGGCUUUUUAAGUCGGAUGUGAAAUCCCUGAGCUUAACUUAGGAAUUGCAUUCGAUACUGGGAAGCUAGAGUAUGGGAGAGGAUGGUAGAAUUCCAGGUGUAGCGGUGAAAUGCGUAGAGAUCUGGAGGAAUACCGAUGGCGAAGGCAGCCAUCUGGCCUAAUACUGACGCUGAGGUACGAAAGCAUGGGGAGCAAACAGGAUUAGAUACCCGAGUAGUCCCUGUCUCUUAUAA